rnacentral:rRNA from 1 species
ACAAGCGGCGGACGGGUGAGUAAUGCCUGGGAAUUUGCCCAUUUGUGGGGGAUAACAGUUGGAAACCACUGCUAAUACCGCAUACGCCCUACGGGGGAAAGCAGGGGAACUUCGGUCCUUGCGCUGAUGGAUAAGCCCAAGUGGGAUUAGCUAGUAGGUGAGGUAAUGGCUCACCUAUGCAACGAUCCCUAUCUGGUCUGAGAGGAUGAUCAGCCACACUGGGACUGAGACACGGCCCAGACUCCUACGGGAGGCAGCAGUGGGGAAUAUUGCACAAUGGGGGAAACCCUGAUGCAGCCAUGCCGCGUGUGUGAAGAAGGCCUUCGGGUUGUAAAGCACUUUCAGCGAGGAGGAAAGGGUGUAAGUUAAUACCUUACAUCUGUGACGUUACUCGCACAAGAAGCACCGGCUAACUCCGUGCCAGCAGCCGCGGUAAUACGGAGGGUGCGAGCGUUAAUCGGAAUUACUGGGCGUAGAGCGUGCGCAGGCGGUUUGUUAAGCGAGAUGUGAAAGCCCCGGGCUCAACCUGGGAACCGCAUUUCGAACUGGCAAACUACAGUCUUGUACAGGGGGGUAGAAUUCCAGGUGUAGCGGUGAAAUGCGUAGAGAUCUGGAGGAAUACCGGUGGCGAAGGCGGCCCCCUGGACAAAGACUGACGCUCAUGCACGAAAGC